GACGAACGCUGGCGGCGUGCCUAAUACAUGCAAGUAGAACGCUGAAGAGAGGAGCUUGCUCUUCUUGAAUGAGUUGCGAACGGGUGAGUAACGCGUAGGUAACCUGCCUUGUAGCGGGGGAUAACUAUUGGAAACGAUAGCUAAUACCGCAUAACAAUGGGUGACACAUGUCAUUUAUUUGAAAGGGGCAAUUGCUCCACUACAAGAUGGACCUGCGUUGUAUUAGCUAGUAGGUGAGGUAACGGCUCACCUAGGCGACGAUACAUAGCCGACCUGAGAGGGUGAUCGGCCACACUGGGACUGAGACACGGCCCAGACUCCUACGGGAGGCAGCAGUAGGGAAUCUUCGGCAAUGGGGGCAACCCUGACCGAGCAACGCCGCGUGAGUGAAGAAGGUUUUCGGAUCGUAAAGCUCUGUUGUAAGUCAAGAACGAGUGGAGAGGGAAAGUUCAC
rnacentral:rRNA from 1 species